rnacentral:rRNA from 1 species
AUUGAACGCUGGCGGCAGGCCUAACACAUGCAAGUCGAGCGGAUGAAGGGAGCUUGCUCCUGUAUUCAGCGGCGGACGGGUGAGUAAUGCCUAGGAAUCUGCCUGGUCUUUGGGGAUAACGUCCGGUAACGGGCGCUAAUACCGCAUACGUCCUGAUGGAGAAAGUGGGGGAUCUUCGGACAUCACGCUAUCAGAUGAGCCUAGGUCGGAUUAGCUAGUUGGUGGGGUAAAGGCUUACCAAGGCGACGAUCCGUAACUGGUCUGAGAGGAUGAUCAGUCACACUGGAACUGAGACACGGUCCAGACUCCUACGGGAGGCAGCAGUAGGGAAUAUUGGACAAUGGGCGAAAGCCUGAUCGAGCAAUGCCGCGUGUGUGAAGAAGGUCUUCGGAUUGUAAAGCACUGUAAGUAGGGAGGAAGGUCAGUAAGUUAAUACCUUGAUGUUUUGACGUUACCAACAGAAUAAGCACCGGCUAACUACGUG